rnacentral:rRNA from 1 species
UAGGGAAUAUUGGACAAUGAGCGAAAGCUUGAUCCAGCCAUGCCGCGUGUGCGAUGAAGACCUUAGGGUUGUAAAGCACUUUAGGUUAUGAGAAAAGAUUUGGUAUUAAUACCACCAAAUUUUGAUGUUAAUUUCAGAAUAAGCACCGGCUAAAUCCGUGCCAGCAGCCGCGGUAAUACGGAUGGUGCAAGCGUUAAUCGGAAUUACUGGGCGUAAAGCGCGCGUAGGUGGCCUAUCAAGUUAGAUGUGAAAUCCCGGGGCUUAACCUCGGAACUGCAUCUAAAACUGAUAAGCUAGAGUACUAGAGAGGAAAGUAGAAUUCUUAGUGUAGCGGUGGAAUGCGUAGAUAUUAAGAGGAAUACCAAUGGCGAAGGCAACUUUCUGGAUAGAUACUGACACUGAGGUGCGAAAGCGUGGGGAGCAAACAGG